CGUAACAAGGUUUCCGUAGGUGAACCUGCGGAAGGAUCAUUAUCCAUCUCAAACCAGGUGCGGUCGCGGCCCCCGGGGGCUUGCUCCCGGGUGGUAGGGGUAACACCCUCACGCGCCGCCUGCCUGUACCCUCUUUUUACGAGCACCUUUCGUUCUCCUUCGGCGGGGCAACCUGCCGCUGGAACCAAAACAAAACCUUUUUUGCAUCUAGCAUUACCUGUUCUGAUACAAAUAAUCGUUACAACUUUCAACAAUGGAUCUCUUGGCUCUGGCAUCGAUGAAGAACGCAGCGAAAUGCGAUAAGUAGUGUGAAUUGCAGAAUUCAGUGAAUCAUCGAAUCUUUGAACGCACAUUGCGCCCCUUGGUAUUCCAUGGGGCAUGCCUGUUCGAGCGUCAUCUACACCCUCAAGCUCUGCUUGGUGUUGGGCGUCUGUCCCGCCUCUGCGCGCGGACUCGCCCCAAAUUCAUUGGCAGCGGUCUUUGCCUCCUCUCGCGCAGCACAAUUGCGUCUGCGGGGGGGCGUGGCCCGCGUCCACGAAGCAACAUUACCGUCUUUGACCUCGGAUCAGGUAGGGAUACCCGCUGAACUUAAGCAUAUCAAUAAGCGGAGGAAAAGAAACCAACAGGGAUUGCCCUAGUAACGGCGAGUGAAGCGGCAACAGCUCAAAUUUGAAAUCUGGCUCUCUUUGGGGGUCCGAGUUGUAAUUUGCAGAGGAUGCUUUGGCAUUGGCGGCGGUCUAAGUUCCUUGGAACAGGACAUCACAGAGGGUGAGAAUCCCGUACGUGGUCGCCUGCCCUUGCCGUGUAAAGCUCCUUCGACGAGUCGAGUUGUUUGGGAAUGCAGCUCUAAAUGGGAGGUAAAUUUCUUCUAAAGCUAAAUACUGGCCAGAGACCGAUAGCGCACAAGUAGAGUGAUCGAAAGAUGAAAAGUACUUUGGAAAGAGAGUCAAAAAGCACGUGAAAUUGUUGAAAGGGAAGCGCUUGCAGCCAGACUUGCCCGCAGUUGCUCACCUAGGCUUUCGCCUGGGGCACUCUUCUGCGGGCAGGCCAGCAUCAGUUUGGGCGGUUGGAUAAAGGCCUCUGUCACGUAUCUCCCUUCGGGGUGACCUUAUAGGGGAGGCGCAAUGCAACCAGCCCGGACUGAGGUCCGCGCAUCUGCUAGGAUGCUGGCGUAAUGGCUGUAAGCGGCCCGUCUUGAAACACGGACCAAGGAGUCUAACAUCUAUGCGAGUGUUUGGGUGUCAAGCCCGAGCGCGCAAUGAAAGUGAACGGAGGUGGGAACCCUUUGGGUGCACCAUCGACCGAUCCUGAUGUCUUCGGAUGGAUUUGAGUAAGAGCAUAGCUGUUGGGACCCGAAAGAUGGUGAACUAUGCUUGAAUAGGGUGAAGCCAGAGGAAACUCUGGUGGAGGCUCGCAGCGGUUCUGACGUGCAAAUCGAUCGUCAAAUUUGGGCAUAGGGGCGAAAGACUAAUCGAACCAU
rnacentral:rRNA from 1 species